UGAUCAUAUAUUUGAAAAACAUUUUAUCCGUGUUCCAUUCGACAUGAACGAAUGAAGUUUUGAAAAAUUUAUUCCAUAUUAUAAUUUGAAAACAAUCAGGACCGUGCGUGAGCUGUAGAGAGCAGCACCUACAGUCGAUGAGCGCGCUCUCUCGUGUCUGAAUAUGCAAUUUUUCUAAUGAUAUUUUGACUGUAUAUGAUUGAAAAUAAUUAAUUUUUCGGAAAAAAAUAAUGAUUAAAGUAAUCAAAUACGGUUUUUGUCCGAUCAACAAUGAUCGCAUUCAAAAUCAAAAUGACGUAAAAGGAAAAAAACUGUUUGAAUUGAAUGACGUUUUAAAUGUCGUCGAAACAGAAAGCUUAGUGGAUGAGUUGACAGUGUUUAACCUUUUGAUCCAUUUGGUCCGUUUCUCACUUUUCCAUGGAGAAUGGACUGUGCCCUCUGGGAAAUAAUAAUAAAAUUUUACUGAUACUUCAACGUUUCGGCGUCGAAAUUGUGCAUUAGAGCACUCUCGAAUGCAACGAUAUUUUCUCGAUCGAGACAUGGAAAUAGUGACUACCAUCAUGGAAAAUGGGAUUGCUCACCUUGUGGAGCAUAAUAGCGAGGAAAACGAUAGCUUCAACAUCAGCCUGUGAGGUAGUAGCAGCAGCGCCAAGAGCAACUCCGUCAGCAGCUGCGUGAACGACGAGUCCAAGAGUGGCAGUCAUGCUUUUUUCUUUGCCUCCACUUCUCUUAGUUGAGCAUUGGUCUAUCAGGAGCAUAAAUAUGAAUCCUAGAACUAAACUGAUGCCGAUAACAGCAUGUAGAUCGUCUGAAAACAAUGCAAGUGUUUAUGAUCCUCUGAGGCUCAAGAAUAAAUCACAAAUAUAUUAUGUUGAAAACUUACUGUGCGGCGGAGAGGUUUGCCCUGUGGGUACUGAACCAAAUAAAGCUCGAAUACCUUCUGGAA